rnacentral:rRNA from 1 species
AGAGCUCAAAUUUAAAAUCUGGCGUGCCUCUGGUCGUCCGAAUUGUAGUCUGAAGAAGCGUUUUCCGUGUCGGACCGUGUAUAAGUCUCUUGGAACAGGGCGUCAUAGAGGGUGAGAAUCCCGUCUUUGACACGGACUGCCGAUGCUUUGUGAUGCGCUCUCAAAGAGUCGAGUUGUUUGGGAAUGCAGCUCAAAAUGGGUGGUAAAUUCCAUCUAAAGCUAAAUAUUGGCGAGAGACCGAUAGCGAA